AUUAAUAUAUAUAGUGAAGCACUCAGUGUUGCUCCAGGUAAAGCCAGAGAUCAGUGGAAGACUUGACUUGGUGUGAUCAGCUCCAACUGCAAAACUUUCAGCCACCAUGAACGGAUCCGCAGCCCCCACCAAGGACUACUUGGGCAUUUCUAUUUUCAACACGCUCUGCUGCUGCCUGCCAUUUGGAAUCAUUGCAAUAAUCUACUCCUUAAGGGCCCGGGAUGCAAAUGCAGCUGGAGACACAACGCGGGCUCAACAGGCAUCGCACACGGCCAAAGUCCUGAACAUUUUUGGCAUCGUUACUGGAUUAAUAUUCCUUGUUAUCAUCAUAAUCUACUGGACAGUUGUAGCUGUUCAAAUAGCAAAGCUAAGAAAAUUGUAAAAUGCCUCUGUGGUCCUGAGAGCAGAAGCAAAUAGGAGUUUAAUUCUUGUUCUUGGAUAAUGAAACCUGUAUCCUGGAUUAAGACCUUCCUUUUGCUCUUGUCAUCCAAUAAAUAUUGAAGUUUUAUACUUAAUUACUUCUUGUUUUCUCUUUUUUUCAAGUGAUAUAUAAAUAAUUCAGUAAACUACCAAGAUGAAUGAAAGACGUUCCAAAAACAUCAACAUUAUGAGUCACAAUUCAACCCAGACCAAGUCUGGAUGCUGACACGGCAUGAUUUUUAAAAAUACCGACUGGCGCGGGAUGCGGCUAACACUGGAGACGUGACGAAGGCUCAACAUGCAUCACACACAGCCAAAGUCCUGAAUAUUUCUGGGAUCGUCAUUGGAAUAAUAAUCAUGAUAAUCAUCAUCAUAGUGAAAACUACGGUUAAAACUACAGCUCCGUAGAACACAGCUUGGUGGGAGUAUCAACUGACUGUGAUCUUACCCUGUGUAUGCAGAAGCAAAUAGGAAUUUAAUUCUUGUUGUUUGAUAAUGAAACCUGUAUCCUCAAUUAUGACCUUUCCUUCUGCUCGCAUCAUGCAAUAAAGAUCAAGUUUCAUACUGUA